ACUCUGCUUGAGACUCAGUGCUCUUUGUAAGAAGUAAGAAGCUUUUAAGGCUCCAAAUACUGUUGAGUCUGCAUAGGCUCUACGUUUGCUCCUGAAGUCUCCAAGCUGCCAGACCUACAUGACUCUACUAGCAGCUAAAGUGUGCCUUGGAUAUUAAUUUGUAGGACGUCUGAUUCUCUGCUAUGCUAUGCAGGUCACUAAAACAUAGCCUGCUCCUGGACCAGUGACAACAAGAGACACUUCAUUGACUCAGACUCAGAGGCAAAACCUGGCAUACUUCAUGGUGCCGUGAGUCCACCGCCUCUGUCCUGUGUUGGCAAAUAGCCUGCUACUGAACCAUGGAAUGUUCUUCCUCCACAACCAGGCUUUGGUGCAUGCUGCUUUCUUGAGAUGCGGUGCUGCAUUGCACAUAACAGCCAUCUCCUUACUCCCUGUCUGAGCAGAUGGAGUUCAGCCGGUGGAACAGAGCCACUAAGAAACUCUACCAACUGCUCUCACCAUUCUGCUUUGUCUAACCAUGUGGGGUCAAGAAACCACAGACUGAAAUAUCUGAAACUGAGCCAAGGCAAGGACAUGGAGCAUUAUAAGAACUCAAGACACUACUUUGUAGCCUCUUAAUUCCACCCUGACAAGGAUAAUCACUCUGUUGACGUCUAACACAGCAGAUCAAGUUUUAAAAUAUCCACUUUAAGGGAGUGGGAUCAUACAGCAUGCGUCUGUUCAUGUCUGACAACGUUCAUUCUGCACAGGUGAAGAGGAGAUUACAUAAGACAAAUAUCCAGAGGACCUCAGUGGGAAUGACUGGUGACAGGCUACUCAUGCAUGAACAGUGUUCUGAAGGUGGACAGUCUUUACUGUAGAAAAAACCUGCAGGGUUGCUUUAAGGUGCCGGCCGCAUCUUAGAAUCUAAAUAAAAAUGACGUAUUUCCUACCCCAUGUGAUGUUUCUUGGGCGUUUUAAAGAAUUCAGAUCAAUACCUGAUUGCAGGCAAUUUGACCACUGCUUAAUCUACAUCAGCACAAAAAAGUGCUGUGCUGGGGAGUCCAUUCACAUGCUAAUACUCGGAAGUAUUUUUCCCUGAGGAAAUCUAAAUUCUGCUAUCAUUUAUUAAUUUGACUUCCCUUAUUUCUACAAGCUGAGUUUGGAAAGGAUGCAUAUAUGUGUUUCUUUUUCUCUUACAGCUGUUAAAUUCACUGCCAUUCAUUGUUCUAAAAUCACAUCAGCGUAUUCACAGAGAGCCUGCCUCUGUGCUGACCACCAGCAACUUUGAAUCCCAAAUGCCACCCAGGAAACCUUUGGUGAGACGGCACACAGACUGGCUAAGAGGAGCUCUGUGUAUUGCCCUCAGAUAAUGAGACAUAUUUGCCAGCAAGUAGACGGUACUCACAGCUACACAAGAAUAUCUUCAGGCAUCUUCUGGCUCCUUCAUUCUGCUCUGUCAUUCUCAGUGUACCAGCCUUGACGCUCACGCUGUAGCCCGAUGCUUGCAGGGUGGCUGGUAUACUUCACACAUAAUGUGUGUAUUCAAGGUGUAAAGGGAGGAGAAAGGGGCCAAUGUAGCUCUGUCACUUCCACUGGGCAAAGUCGAGAGCUGUAGAAAGACUGUAUCCUGUAGGACAAAAACUUAAAAAAACCAAAAAAACCAGCAAUACAGUAUGGGAUAAAACAGACUAAUAAAAAAGCAAUUAUUUUAUCAUUUCUAAAGAUCAGGAAUUCCACAGAACCUUACCCGGGGAGGUCCAGUUCAGAGCUUCUCCUAGUUGUAUUUUUAUGAGCAUAUGUUAAUUGUACAAAUGGGUUUUAUGGUAAAAUUUUCAUACAAGCAUAUAAUUUACUUUGAUCAGACCCUCUGUAGCGCUCUCAUAUCACUUCUAUAACCUUUUGCUCUUGUAAUUAGGAUGCUCUUGAUUAUUGCUCUUGAUUAAGAUAUUGUCAGUGGCUGCAAUCAUUUUGAAGCACGAGUAGGUAAAAUGCAGCCACUAUUCUGAAAAAUUUGAGAGUCCAUGUUCAAGACUGGUUGCAUCUACUUUCCUACACUGUCACACUGAUUAGCCUCAAAUAAAUGCUGUCUUCUUUGUUUUGUUAUUUCAUUUUAUUUUAAUUUUUAAAACAACCAACCAACCACCAUGACUAGGGCCAGAGGAACCAUUCCUGAUGUGAUUUUUCUCAGAAGACCUGCCUCCUACCAUGUGGACCUUUCAAGGUCUCCGUGUUGUCUUUUCAUGACAUGGCAACUUGCU